rnacentral:misc_RNA from 1 species
AACCUAGCACACCUGCGGUGUGUACCUGCGGAGGGAUCAUUACCGAGUUUACAACUCCCAAACCCCUGUGAACAUACCAAUUGUUGCCUCGGCGGAUCAGCCCGCUCCCGGUAAAACGGGACGGCCCGCCAGAGGACCCCUAAACUCUGUUUCUAUAUGUAACUUCUGAGUAAAACCAUAAAUAAAUCAAAACUUUUAACAACGGAUCU